rnacentral:rRNA from 1 species
GUGGGGAAUCUUCCGCAAUGGACGAAAGUCUGACGGAGCAACGCCGCGUGAGUGAAGAAGGUUUUCGGAUCGUAAAGCUCUUUCGUUAGGGACGAACGUGCUCUUUGUGAAUAAUGAGGAGUAAUGACGGUACCUAAAUAAGAAGCCACGGCUAACUACGUGCCAGCAGCCGCGGUAAUACGUAGGUGACAAGCGUUGUCCGGAAUUAUUGGGCGUAAAGCGCGCGCAGGCGGGAUAUCAAGUCUGUCUUAAAAGUGCGAGGCUCAACCUCGUGAGGGGACAGAAACUGGUAUUCUUGAGUGUCGGAGAGGAAAGUGGAAUUCCAAGUGUAGCGGUGAAAUGCGUAGAGAUUUGGAAGAACACCAGUGGCGAAGGCGACUUUCUGGACGAUGUCUGACGCUGAGGCGCGAAAGCUAGGGGAGCGAACGGGAUUAGAUACCCGAGUAGUCC